GCCCAAACUCGUUCACCUUGGUCGGUGUGUUGCUUGCGGCAGCUGGUCUGGGUGAUGUUGUGCUUGCCGAGUGCAUUCAUGGGUGGGCUAUAAAGAGUCAGUUGGAAUCCAAUCAUUUUGUUGCAACCGCACUGGUGGAUGCAUAUGCAAAAUGUGGGCACCCCAUGAACGCAUUGGCAUUUUUCAGCGGUUUGAGGGAUCCUAAUGUAGUUUCCUGGAAUGCAAUGAUCUCCGGGUUAGUGCACAAUGUUUUGUUUGAGGAAGCAGUAUUGGCAUUCAAGAGGUUGUGUUGUUGUUUUGGGUCAGUUCCUAAUAAUGCUGUGACCAUGAUUAAUAUCGCUCAAGCGUAUGCUGGUUGUGGUGAACUUGAAAUGUGCAAGAGUGUACAUGCUUAUGCAGUUAAGAUGGGCUUUGAUUUGGAUGUCUCGGUGACAAACUCAAUACUUGGCAUGUACUUGAGUUUUGGGGAUAUUGAGAUUGGAAGAGAGAUUUUCAGGAAAAUUAUUCUUAGGAAUGUGGUUACUUGGACAAUGAUGAUGGGUUUCCUUCUUGAGCAGGCUCAUGCUGGUGAAGUUAUAAAUAUCUUUGUUCAGAUGAGGUCAAAUGGCAUAGUUCCUGACAGGAUAGCAAUGGUCAGUUUGGUGCAAGCUUGUGCACUUCUGGGUGAUGCAAGGAGAGGAAAAAUGGUUCAUAACCAAAUGAUCACACGUGGGUUUAGUAGUGAGCUUCCUGCAGUUAAUUCAUUAAUCACUAUGUAUUCCAAAUGCAAGGAUUUAAGUUCAGCUAGAGUGUUGUUUGAUGGCAUGAGGAACAAAAGCUUAGUUUCAUGGACUGCAAUGGUUUCAGGAUAUAUAGGAAGUGGAAGAGCCCUAGAGGGGAUGCAUCUAUUUGGUAAGAUGAGGCAUGAAGAUACUUUUGUGAUUGAUUCUGUGACAUUAGUCAGCUUAUUGACUGGAUGCUAUGAGACUGCUAAGUUUGUUCUAUGUGUUCAACUUCAUGGGUAUAGCUACAAGUCAGGUUUGUAUCUGUAUAGACCUGUCCCUAAUACCCUCAUGGCAGUUUAUGGUAAGUGUGGAUAUGCCAUUUUAGCUCAUAAAGUAUUUGAUGACAUGAUUUCUCGAGAUGUUGUCUCGUGGAAUACCCUGAUAUUAUCCUAUGGUAUAAAUGGCCAAGGAGAGCAAGCAGUAGCACUUUUUAAUAAAAUGGAGGAAUCUAGUGAAGAGCGAGACAGUGUAACAUACUUGAACACAAUGCUGGCAUGCAGCCAUUCUGGACAAGUUGAUGAUGGGUUGAUCAUAUUCAGGAGAAUGAUUAAUGAGAAGCACGUAAAUCCAUGCCAAGAACACAUUGGAUGCCUAGUAGAUAUGUUGGCAAGAGCUGGUCGCUUGGAUGAAGCAGCAGAAGUGGCUAGCUUGACUAGCAAUGAGGGAGCAAAUCCUUGGAAGGCUUUGAUGGGAGGAGGUCACCUGCAUAGUCACACAGAAUUAACUGAAGUUGCUGCUGAGAAGGUGCUGAACGCGGACUCAUUUGAUAAUGGCCAUGUGGUGUUACUUUCUAACGCUUGUGCAUCUGCUGGGAAGUAUAGUGAUGCUGAAUCUAUCCGAUCCUGUUAUUCGAAACAAACACAAAAGAAGAUUCUAGGGCUUAGUUCCAUUGAGGUUAUGCUAUCCAGCUCAAGAUAGCCACUAUACUUCUUGCAAUGGAAGGGAAAAGAUACAUGAGACAAUUACCAUACACUGUCUGUCUGUCUCAAAGUAUUGGAGAUCUGUUUUAGGCAUGAAAGAUGGAGUUUUACUUUGCAUACAGCCAAGUCCCAUGUAAUUAAAAGAGAAACAUCAAGAAUGAGGCUUCAAAUAGCACAUUAGAUGCAAUGGAAAAUUGCAUUGGUCUUUAUAUUGUGAUAGACUAAGAGUUUUUUUCAUCUUGAUUCUAGUAUGGUUGAAUCAGGAGACUUACGUCAUGUGAGUAUGGUGUUUAUCUGAUGCAAUUCUGACCCAAUAGAAAACUUGUUGACUACACCGUCAGUUCAAUUACAUCUGUUGUUUUGUGUUUCCUUAGUACUUUUGCCUUGGAGUAUUAACCAUCUCUGAUCUGUAUCAAUAUCCUCCUCACUAUAUCUACUCUUUGAAUACAAUCAUUUGUUGAUUGUGAACAUGAAGCCUAUGGUCCAUGCUUCUUUGCAAAGAGUUGGCGCAAAGCCUGAGAUAAUCUGAAGUACUUGACUUUUGAAAAAUAUAUUAUGGUGCAUCUCAUCCAAGUGACAAUGUAACAUUUUACUUGAAGUUAGAAUAAUGUAUGACAAAAACUCUGGAAGGUCAAGAGGCUUUGGAUUUGUUCAUUUCUCAAAUGAUCAUGAAGCUAAGUGUGCCAAGGAUGCUAUGGAUGGGAAG